rnacentral:rRNA from 1 species
UGAAGGAGGAGCUUGCUCUUCUGGAUGAGUUGCGAACGGGUGAGUAACGCGUAGGUAACCUGCCUGGUAGCGGGGGAUAACUAUUGGAAACGAUAGCUAAUACCGCAUAAGAGUGGAUGUUGCAUGACAUUUACUUAAAAGGUGCAAUUGCAUCACUACCAGAUGGACCUGCGUUGUAUUAGCUAGUUGGUGGGGUAACGGCUCACCAAGGCGACGAUACAUAGCCGACCUGAGAGGGUGAUCGGCCACACUGGGACUGAGACACGGCCCAGACUCCUACGGGAGGCAGCAGUAGGGAAUCUUCGGCAAUGGACGGAAGUCUGACCGAGCAACGCCGCGUGAGUGAAGAAGGUUUUCGGAUCGUAAAGCUCUGUUGUAAGAGAAGAACGAGUGUGAGAGUGGAAAGUUCACACUGUGACGGUAUCUUACCAGAAAGGGACGGCUAACUACGUGCCAGCAGCCGCGGUAAUACGUAGGUCCCGAGCGUUGUCCGGAUUUAUUGGGCGUAAAGCGAGCGCAGGCGGUUAGAUAAGUCUGAAGUUAAAGGCUGUGGCUUAACCAUAGUACGCUUUGGAAACUGUUUAACUUGAGUGCAAGAGGGGAGAGUGGAAUUCCAUGUGUAGCGGUGAAAUGCGUAGAUAUAUGGAGGAACACCGGUGGCGAAAGCGGCUCUCUGGCUUGUAACUGACGCU